rnacentral:rRNA from 1 species
GACGAACGCUGGGCGGCGUGCUUAACACAUGCAAGUCGAACGGUGAACCAGAGCUUGCUCUGGGGAUCAGUGGCGAACGGGUGAGUAACACGUGGGCAACCUGCCCCAGACUCUGGGAUAACCUCGGGAAACCGAUGCUAAUACCGGAUACGACCACUUCGGACAUCCGACGGUGGUGGAAAGUUUUUCGGUCUGGGAUGGGCCCGCGGCCUAUCAGCUAGUUGGUGGGGUAAUGGCCUACCAAGGCGACGACGGGUAGCCGGCCUGAGAGGGCGACCGGCCACACUGGAACUGAGACACGGUCCAGACUCCUACGGGAGGCAGCAGUGGGGAAUAUUGCACAAUGGGCGAAAGCCUGAUGCAGCGACGCCGCGUGAGGGACGACGGCCUUCGGGUUGUAAACCUCUUUCAGCAGGGACGAAGCGAAAGUGACUGUACCUGCAGAAGAAGCACCGGCUAACUACGUG